rnacentral:rRNA from 1 species
GGCUCAGAACGAACGCUGGCGGCGUGCCUAACACAUGCAAGUCGAACGAGAAAGGGGAGCAAUCCCUGAGUACAGUGGCGACCGGGUGAGUAACACGUGACUACCUGCCCUUGAGUGGGGGAUAACCCCGGGAAACCGGGGCUAAUACCGCAUAAUAUCGAGAGAUCAAAGGAGCAAUCCGCUCUUGGAGGGGGUCGCGGCUGAUUAGCUAGUUGGUGAGGUAACGGCUCACCAAGGCGAAGAUCGGUAUCCGGCCUGAGAGGGCGCACGGACACACUGGAACUGAAACACGGUCCAGACUCCUACGGGAGGCAGCAGUGGGGAAUUUUGCGCAAUGGGGGAAACCCUGACGCAGCAACGCCGCGUGGAGGAUGAAGCCCUUUGGGGCGUAAACUCCUUUCGACCGGGAAGAUACUGACGGUACCGGUGGAAGAAGCACCGGCUAACUCUGUGCCAGCAGCCGCGGUAAUACAGAGGGUGCGAGCGUUGUUCGGAAUUAUUGGGCGUAAAGGGCGCGUAGGCGGUGCGGUAAGUCACCUGUGAAACCUCUGGGCUUAACUCAGAGCCUGCAGGCGAAACUGCCGUGCUGGAGUAUGGGAGAGGUGCGUGGAAUUCCCGGUGUAGCGGUGAAAUGCGUAGAUAUCGGGAGGAACACCUGUGGCGAAAGCGGCGCACUGGACCAUAACUGACGCUGAGGCGCGAAAGCUAGGGGAGCAAACAGGAUUAGAUACCCUGGUAGUCCUAGCCCUAAACGAUGAUUGCUUGGUGUAGCAGGUACCCAAUCCUGCUGUGCCGCAGCUAACGCGAUAAGCAAUCCGCCUGGGGAGUACGGUCGCAA